GACGAACGCUGGCGGCGUGCCUAAUACAUGCAAGUAGAACGCUGAAGGAAGGAGCUUGCUCUUUCUGGAUGAGUUGCGAACGGGUGAGUAACGCGUAGGUAACCUGCCUGGUAGCGGGGGAUAACUAUUGGAAACGAUAGCUAAUACCGCAUAAAAUUGAUUAUUGCAUGAUAGUCAAUUAAAAGGUGCAACUGCACCACUACCAGAUGGACCUGCGUUGUAUUAGCUAGUUGGUGGGGUAACGGCUCACCAAGGCGACGAUACAUAGCCGACCUGAGAGGGUGGUCGGCCACCCUGGGACUGAGACACGGCCCAGACUCCUACGGGAGGCAGCCGUAGGGAAACUUCGGCAAUGGGCGGAAGUCUGACCGAGCAACGCCGCGUGAGUGAAGAAGGGUUUCGGAUCGUAAAGCUCUGUUGUAAGAGAAGAACGAGUGUGAGAGUGGAAAGUUCACACUGUGACGGUAUCUUACCAGAAAGGGACGGCUAACUACGUG
rnacentral:rRNA from 1 species